GAAGUCACGCCGGUCCUUAGGCUGUCUCUGUCUCCCUAAAAGCGAGUCUCUUCGCUGCUCUCUAACUCCUAGAGCUGGCUCAGAAAGAGUUUCACAUUGCCAUAGGGGAGCUCCUAGGAGAGGCUGCACCCAUUGCACGUUCUUUCUGGCAAAGGUAAUGACAUACGCAUCUGUGACAGCAUCCCAAGAGUGAGCCUGGUUUCUGGAAAUCCAUUCUGACUCUGUGACAGCGGGGAUGGAUGUGACCUUGCCCGUGGUUAGAAAACAAAUUUACUGAGUGUCAGAUCUUUUCCAAGAACAGCAGAAAAUGAUCGAAUACCAGAUACCUGUGUCAUUCAAAGAUGUGGUUGUGGGCUUCACCCAAGAGGAGUGGCACCAGCUGAGUCCUGCUCAGAGGGCCCUGUACCGGGAUGUGAUGCUGGAAACCUAUAGCAACCUCGUCUCAGUGGGUUAUGAAGGCACCAAACCAGAUGUGAUCCUCAGGCUGGAGCAGGAAGAAGCACCAUGGAUUGGUGAGGCAGCAUGCCCGGGCUGCCACUGUUGGGAAGACAUCUGGCGAGUUAAUAUCCAGAGGAAAAGACGGCAAGACAUGCUUUUGAGGCAAGGCGCAGCCAUAAGCAAGAAAACAUUGCCCAAGGAAAAAAGCUGUGAAUAUAGUAAGUUUGGGAAAAUAUCACUUCUGAGCACUGAUCUUUUUUCUUCAAUCCAGAGCCCUAGUAACUGGAACCCUUGUGGAAAGAAUUUGAACCAUAAUUUAGACUUGAUUGGUUUUAAGAGAAACUGUGCAAAAAAGCAAGAUGAGUGUUAUGCUUAUGGGAAAUUGCUUCAGCAUAUAAAUCAUGGUAGACGACCUAAUGGAGAAAAGCCCCGGGGUUGCAGUCACUGUGAGAAAGCUUUCACCCAGAACCCGGCACUUAUGUAUAAACCAGCAGUAAGUGAUUCUCUCUUGUACAAACGGAAGAGGGUUCCACCUACAGAAAAACCCCACGUCUGUAGUGAGUGUGGGAAAGCCUUCUGCUACAAGUCUGAAUUCAUUAGGCAUCAGAGAAGUCACACUGGGGAGAAGCCUUAUGGCUGCACUGACUGUGGGAAAGCCUUCUCACAUAAGUCAACCCUCAUCAAACACCAGAGAAUUCACACUGGGGUAAGACCCUUUGAAUGUUUUUUUUGUGGGAAAGCCUUUACCCAGAAGUCACACCGCACAGAACAUCAGAGAACACACACAGGAGAGAGACCCUUUGUCUGCAGUGAAUGCGGGAAAUCGUUUGGUGAGAAGUCAUACCUCAAUGUACAUCGAAAAAUGCACACAGGAGAAAGACCCUAUCGUUGCAGAGAAUGUGGAAAAUCCUUCAGCCAGAAGUCAUGCCUCAAUAAACAUUGGAGAACUCACACAGGAGAGAAGCCCUAUGGGUGCAAUGAAUGUGGGAAAGCUUUCUACCAGAAGCCAAACCUCAGCAGACAUCAGAAAAUUCAUGCUCGGAAGAAUGCCUAUAGGAAUGAAAACUUCAUAAUUGUGGGAAAUACUUGAGCAAAAUAUCUGGUUUCAUGGUAUGUAGGGAAUUAUUUUUUAUUUUUUAUUUUUUUGAGUUGGAAUCUCGCUUUAUCGCGCCAUUGCACUCCAACCUGGGCAACAGAGCAAAAAGAUUCCAUCUCAAAAGAAAAGAAAAGAAAUCUGUUAAUAUUAUUAAAAUAUUUAUGUCACUUUGGAGAAUCUUCCCUUAGAAGUAAAAGCCCCAAUACAUAAAAGACAGAUGAACAUGUGAACACGGACAUUUAUUGUAAAAAUUGUUCUUAAUGGCAAAAAAACCCCCAAAACCAAAGCAAACACUAGAAUCAAAGUAAAUACCCAUGAAUUGGGAAAUUGUAGAAAGGAAAAAACUAUAGUGUAUCCAUUCCAUAGGAUGUUAAUAUAGCCAUUAAGGUGGACAAAUUAAAACUAUGCUAGUGGACUUUAGUGGAAUUCCACAAUGUUCUCUUGAGUGAAAAAUGCAAGGUAGAUAUUAAGUGUGUUAAAUAUGACUCCAUUUUUGUAAAUCAUUAACAAAAUGUCUCUAGGUGUUUAUCAGCAAUGAACGGUAUCUAUAUAUGUUUAUUUGAUUUUAUGUGCAUGAAGAAAAGUAUAGGAGAGUAUGCAUUGACUUGGAGGGAGGUGGGUAAUGCAGGUAGGUUAUGGGGGAGUCAGGGGUGUAGGGAAAAGGAAAACCAAAAAAGAAAAAUACAUAAAUGACUGAAUCACGGGUGAUACCACAAAUGUGUGAGUUAGUAAAUUUGGCUGGGGAUGGGGGAGCUAGAAUUUUGCUAAUUUGUGGGGAUGUUCAUGGUAUACAUUGUAAAAAGGGAAAAUUUCAUAAUAAUGUAUACGAUUCUAUUUUUAAAAAAAGUAAAAACUCCUGUGUGUGUAUAUAUGCAUGUGGAUGUUUAUAUGAACAUAGAAAAGUGUAGAAGAAUACACACGAAGGUGUUAACAUUCAUUGGUUACCUUGGUGGAGAAGGGUAAUAAGUUUUCUGAAUACCUUUGUAUUGUCUUGUUCACAUAUAUUGUUUUUGUAAUUUGAAAAACAAAAUAAAGGGGGAAAACAUUUCAAACUGAA